rnacentral:telomerase_RNA from 1 species
GCACGAGAGACGUCGACCGAGAAUUUCACCGGAAGGUCGCGGGCUCACCGCGCCUGUGAACCCUAAACCCUGGUGCGACCCACCGCCCGCGCGUCGCCGAUCGAGGCGGCGCGAUCAAGCGGGCUCAAACCGUCGCGGGUGGUCUUUCGAAGAGCGCUUCCCACCCGCGCAGAAGAAACCAAAAAAAAACAGAAGCGCUCGAUGAAUGAGGUUCGACCGAAGGCUCGUGCCGUUCAAAAGGCGAAACGUCCGAUCAAAAUUCACCGCGCGCGCGCGAUCGAGGGGUCGCGCUCGUCCGAUCGCCGGCGCCCGGCGAGUCCGAGCCCCCGGCGGAGAAGCGCGCGUCCACGACGCGCGCGACUGACGAGCGCGGCGAGACCGGAUCGCGCGCGGCGCGAAGUGAACGGACGAAAGCCGCGGUGCGACGCUGCGAUUUUUUUU